GGGAGCUGCUGCGUGUUACACGCGGUUGUGUGUCAUUCUAGGUGACAGACGGAGCGGCUACCGGAGGGGACGGGGGAUCUCUGAGGAGAGCCCAUCCCGCCAGAAGGGAGAGUAAUGGCAUUCCCCCGGCCACGGAAGAAGGAUGUGUGUGACCAAGGAAUCCAUGGCAAGAAGAGCCCAACAGACAUGAAGCAUCCCAGUAAUGCAGAGAGUAUAGUUACAUACCAAGGACCAGAUACCUGUGCCUUAAACAAAGCUCCCCAACGUACUGUACAGUCUUUAUUUGUGUUUGAGAUUAAUUGACCACUGCAGAAUGCAUCCUUGGGCUUUCUGAAAUAUAUGAAAUGACACAGGGUGAAGUGAUGAGAAGUUAUCCUGAGAGAGGGGAGUGAUAUUGUAAAACCCGUCUGGAAGAUAGCUGCAAUACUGCUGGCUCCUGGCUUUGGCUGUGUAUGCUACACAAAUACAAACUGCAUUUACACUUGAUUAAAGGUAAUGUAAUAAAAAAAAUCCCCAACUUUUUCUGGGUGUAUGUUUGCAUGUGGACCAGCGCUGUAAACAAAACGUACUAAACACUUGAAACAGCAGCAGUAGCUACAUUUUU
ensembl:lncRNA